GAUGAACGCUGGCGGCGUGCCUAAUACAUGCAAGUCGAGCGAACAGACGAGGAGCUUGCUCCUCUGACGUUAGCGGCGGACGGGUGAGUAACACGUGGAUAACCUACCUAUAAGACUGGGAUAACUUCGGGAAACCGGAGCUAAUACCGUAUAAUAUAUUGAACCGCAUGGUUCAAUAGUGAAAGACGGUUUUGCUGGCACUUGUAGAUGGAUCCGCGCCGCAUGAGCUAGUUGGUGAGGUAACGGCUUACGAAGGCAACGAUGGGUAGCCGGCCUGAGAGGGGGACCGGCGACAUGGGGACUGAGGGAGGGAGCAGACGGCUACGGGCGGCAGCAGGGGGGAGUAUUGCACAAUGGGCGGAAGCCUGAUGCAGCAACGCCGGGUGCGGGAUGACGGCCUUCUGGUUGUAAACCGCUUUCGCCUGUGACGAAGCGUGAGUGACGGUAAUGGGUAAAGAAGCACCGGCUAACUACGUG
rnacentral:rRNA from 1 species